CAACGCCACCUAUGAAGGAGAUUCGCACCUCUAGAGACGGACCUUCUCCACCUCCUCCGAAGCCACCCGUGAAGGAGAAUAACACCAUAGGAGCUGGACCUCCUCCACCACCACCUUUAAAGGAGAAUAACACCAUUGCAGCUGGACCUCCUCCACCACCACCACCACCUCCUCCAACGCCACCUUUAAAGGAGAAUAACACCAUUGCAGCUGGACCUCCUCCAGCACCACCACCUCCUCCAAUGCCACCUUUGAAGGAGAAUAACAAAAUUGGAGUUGGACCUCCUCCUCCACCACCACCACCACCUCCGCCUUUGAAGGAGAAUCUUGUUAUUGGAUCUGGACCUCGUCCUCCUCCCCCUCCUCCCCCUCCUCUUCAUUCAGGGCCAACAACCAGCCUAACUGUUUCAUCUCCGAUGCCACCAGCGCCGCCGCCUCCUCCCAUUAUGUCAACC
rnacentral:lncRNA from 1 species